rnacentral:rRNA from 1 species
CCUACGGGGGGCAGCAGUCGAGAAUCAUUCACAAUGGGGGAAACCCUGAUGGUGCGACGCCGCGUGGGGGAAUGAAGGUCUUCGGAUUGUAAACCCCUGUCAUGUGGGAGCAAAUUAAAAAGAUAGUACCACAAGAGGAAGAGACGGCUAACUCUGUGCCAGCAGCCGCGGUCAUACAGAGGUCUCAAGCGUUGUUCGGAAUCACUGGGCGUAAAGCGUGCGUAGGCUGUUUCGUAAGUCGUGUGUGAAAGGCGCGGGCUCAACCCGCGGACGGCACAUGAUACUGCGAGGCUAGAGUAAUGGAGGUGGGACCGGAAUUCUCGGUGUAGCAGUGAAAUGCGUAGAUAUCGAGAGGAACACUCGUGGCGAAGGCGGGUUCCUGGACAUUAACUGACGCUGAGGCACGAAGGCCAGGGGAGCGAAAGGGAUUAGAUACCCUUGUAGUC